rnacentral:rRNA from 1 species
AUUGAACGCUGGCGGCAGGCCUAACACAUGCAAGUCGAGCGAGCGGCGGACGGGUGAGUAAUGGAUGGGGACCGCCGGAAAGAGGGGGAUAACUACUGGAAACGGUAGCUAAUAACGCAUACUAUGGGAUAACCGAUGGGGGGUUAGCUAGUAGGUGAGGUAAUGGCUAACCUAGGCGACGAUCCCUAGCUGGGCUGAGAGGAUGAUCAACCACACUGGGACUGAGACACGGCCCAGACUCCUACGGAGGCAGCAGUGGGGAAUAUUGCACAAUGGACGCAAGCCUGAUGCAGCCAUGCCGCGUGUAUGAAGAAGGCCCUAGGUUUGUAAAGCUCUGUCAUUCGGGAGGCGUUACCGACAGAAGAAGCACCGGCUAACUCCGUGCCAGCAGCCGCGGUAAUAC